GCUAAGGUAAAAUUACCACUAAGACAAAAACAACGAUUUUUACUUUCAAUCAGCUGAAAUAAAUUUACUAAUGACUUUUGAAAGAUUAGCCAGUGUUUUCUUUUAUAUAAUAAUAAAAAAUAUAAUUUUAUUUUAAUUUUAUUUUAAUGUCCCUGAUAAAUAAAUACAUUCAAUACAUGCAAUAACAAUAAUAAUAAUAUCAUUGUAGUUCCCCAUCAUAUAGUAUCCAAUUCCUAUUGUUUUAUUUGAAGAAAUCUAUAAAUUCUCUCUCUCUCUCUCUCUCUCUCUCUCUCUCUCUCUCUCUUUCAAGAAAAUACAUUCUCUGAACUCUGCUUUCAGAUAUUUUUGUGAACGAUUCAUCUGUGGACUGCCCACGUAUCAAAAUCCAAUCAACAACCGAUGCAUAGAACCAAGACCACACCCUUCCUUUUUUUUUUUUUUUUUUUUUUUUUUUUUUUUUUUUUUCUUCGAUUCUUUUUGUCAGCUGAAUUUUCACAAUGUGUAAGUAAAUACCUUUCGCUACCACCAUUUCAUCACAAGUUUAAUGUUUCUAAAAGAAUAAGCAUGAAUGGGGUAAGAAAUAAUGUAUGUUUAUUAUAAUUGGAAUCAUUUAAAUGAUUAAUUAAUCUGUGGAUUACCAACUCCAAUAGAAUGUCAAGAAUCAAGCAAAAUUAUUUGUGCAAAUCGCAUAAAAUUACACUUCAGCCAGCUUUAAUGCAUCCAUUAUGUUUAAUAUGCAUUGUUGCAUAUGUUGAUUUAAGAAAGUGCACGUGUUUUGGUUAAAUUCAAAGCCAAGCAGCUGCAGAAUAAAGUCAGGAAGUCACCCUUCUGUUGCUUGAAAUGACACAAGAAGGAAGUCCAGCCAAGAGCAACUCCUCCAACAAAAACAGUGCGAGCUACCGGCGGGAUCAGCGAGAAGUUCACAGCCUGAGACAUGACUCUUGGAAACAUCCUGUCCCGUCCCCGUAGCCAGUGGCAAUUGAAGUUGGCAUGGAAACAGAACCCAAGCAGCGCUGCCCGAGUCUGGGCCCAGUCAAUGCUGUCAAGCUGUGGAGCAUGUUGUAUUGGAUCUAAUGCCACAGUAAAUCCCUCAACCGAUGUGAUGGAGGUAUCUUGUCAUGUGCCCUGUCCCUUUGUCCUGAGCUUUUCCCAUCAUGCUUUGCUGAAUAAGGUAUUUGGUGUGAAGGAAACAGGAAAAUCAAGGUAAUAAUAUGAUAGUUAUAUAUGCUAUUAUUAUGCUUUUUUCAAUAAAGCUGUCAUUUUGUCAAAUUAUGCA
ensembl:lncRNA